rnacentral:rRNA from 1 species
AUUAGAUAAAAAACCAAUGCCCUUCGGGGCUCCUUGGUGAUUCAUAAUAACUUAUCGAAUCGCAUGGCCUUGCGCUGGCGAUGGUUCAUUCAAAUUUCUGCCCUAUCAACUUUCGAUGGUAGGAUAGUGGCCUACCAUGGUGGCAACGGGUAACGGGGAAUUAGGGUUCGAUUCCGGAGAGGGAGCCUGAGAACGGCUACCACAUCUAAGGAAGGCAGCAGGCGCGCAAAUUACCCAAUCCCGAUACGGGGAGGUAGUGACAAUAAAUACUGAUACAGGGCUCUUUCGGGUCUUGUAAUUGGAAUGAGUACAAUUUAAGCACCUUAACGAGGAGCAAUUGGAGGGCAAGUCUGGUGCCAGCAGCCGCGGUAAUUCCAGCUCCAAUAGCGUAUAUUAAAGUUGUUGCAGUUAAAAAGCUCGUAGUUGAACCUUGGGUCUGGCUGGCCGGUCCGCCUCACCGCGUGCACUGGUCCGGCUGGAUCUUCCUUCUGGGGAGCCCCAUGGCCUUUAUUGGC